rnacentral:tRNA from 2 species
GGGGGCGUAGUUCAGUUUGGUUAGAACGCCGGGCUGUCAAUCCGGAGGUCGCGGGUUCAAGUCCCGUCGCUCCCG